rnacentral:rRNA from 1 species
GUGAACGCUGGCGGUAGGCCUAACACAUGCAAGUCGAACGGCAGCACCGUAAGAGCUUGCUCUUACGGGUGGCGAGUGGCGGACGGGUGAGGAAUACAUCGGAAUCUACUUUUUCGUGGGGGAUAACGUAGGGAAACUUACGCUAAUACCGCAUACGACCUACGGGUGAAAGCAGGGGAUCUUCGGACCUUGCGCGAUUGAAUGAGCCGAUGUCGGAUUAGCUAGUUGGCGGGGUAAAGGCCCACCAAGGCGACGAUCCGUAGCUGGUCUGAGAGGAUGAUCAGCGACACUGGAACUGAGAAACGGUCCAGACUCCUACGGGAGGCAGCAGUGGGGAAUAUUGGACAAUGGGCGCAAGCCUGAUCCAGCCAUACCGCGUGGGUGAAGAAGGCCUUCGGGUUGUAAAGCCCUUUUGUUGGGAAAGAAAAGCAGCAGGUUAAUACCCCGCUGUUCUGACGGUACCCAAAGAAUAAGCACCGGCUAACUUCGU